CGUGGUUGAAUUCUCCGGAACUUUUGAUCUCUUAUACCAUUUCUCUCUGAACGAGAGGAAAUUUGAUCGUAGCUUCCUACUCAAAGCCACCGUGCCGGAAAGUUUCCCUACAGUUGUGACUCGUUAAUCUUCAAGCGAAAUGGGUUCUAAUGUUGCAGAUUAUCUGGUUGAUCAUAAGUGGUCAACGGAGUUAGAUACAAAACUUGUGAGGGUGAUGAUAACAGCAAGGAAACUUCAAAGGUUUAGCAUGGUCAGAUAAAAGGUUGUGGCAAUGUGCUGUCCAGAAAAUAAAUAUUUUCAUCAACAACGACCAAAAUUGCAGACACUUGGAACGAAAAGGCAUCGAAUGUCUAGAAUCUAGACUUCAAAAACAUAGAAAGGCUUAUGAUAUGUACCAGGAAUCAGGAUGACUCAAAUUGGACAUUGCGGAUUAAGCUCCGAAAUUUGCUUACUUGUAGAGACGACAAUGGCCCAUUGGUUAUCCCUAAGUCUUUCAACAAUUCUCGGGUAGGGUCAUCCCAUUCCUCUUAUGUUGUCGACACUUUUCUACGAAAUCUGCGAGCCAUCAAGAAUCAUAUCAACUAAACAAUAUAACUUUUGCCAUUCAAGAUUUCAAGACAAGCCUUCAAAUGAUGAAUCUAUUCAACCAAAUGACUCCUCAAGAAAGAAUAUCCUAUGUGGAAGUGGAAUAUAUCUUUUAGCCUUGGGUGAAAAAUAGAGUUUUCUUAAUGUGAUGCUGGGUUUAGACUUCCUUAAUAUAACUCUAUUUAUCGGAGGAAAAAUGUCGCAACAAUAUUUCUUUGUUGUUGACUGAUUUGUAAUUCGGCAUCAAUGUCAUAACAAUAAGCACACUAAACACUAACUCUGGUUGCGAUUAGAGUUUAUAAACAGAUUAUCUUUAAUAGCUUUCUGCCGUGGUGAAAUGUUCUAAAACCAAAAUUAGUAACAGAACCAUAAACUCUAGAAGAACUGUUUUUUCAAAAAAACCUCAUCAAAACAGAAGCUCAAAUUGGUUUAACAAAGAAUAAUAGUGGUGCUUAAGUGCGGUUGGUCGCACAUAUGACCUUUCCGAAGCACCACGCCUAUCCUCGUAGAAGCUGUUCCUAGUAAAGAUUAUGAUUCUCGGGUAUCCAAUCAAUUAAUACCACAAACUUGGGAAGCUUAAGCGGAAAUGAAAGAGUAGUAAGGUGAGGGAUAAGGGGGAACUAAAUGGAAGACUUCACUGAUAGAGGUUAUACACUUUCAUCAAGGAGAUCCAAGAUUUUAGAAUAUUGUUAAAAAUUAUAAAAAUUUACUGAGAAGUUAUGAACAUUCAUUAAAAAA